rfam:Cochliobolus heterostrophus C5 unplaced genomic scaffold COCHEscaffold_18, whole genome shotgun sequence.
GCCCGGCUAGCUCAAUCGGUAGAGCGUGAGACUCUUAGUUAUCACGUCCUAACAAGACACGAUUGUUUCAAAUCUCAAGGUUGUGGGUUCGACCCCCACGUCGGGCU